AAUGUGUAAAGAACAUUUCUGGUGCCCCCUGAUAUUGCUGGAAUAUUGCUAAAAGCGUGGUAAACUAAACUCCCUCAACUGUAAGAGAUGUUGU